GACGAACGCUGGCGGCGUGCUUAACACAUGCAAGUCGAACGGAAAGGCCCUGCUUUUGUGGGGUGCUCGAGUGGCGAACGGGUGAGUAACACGUGAGUAACCUGCCCUUGACUUUGGGAUAACUUCAGGAAACUGGGGCUAAUACCGGAUAGGAGCUCCUGCUGCAUGGUGGGGGUUGGAAAGUUUCGGCGGUUGGGGAUGGACUCGCGGCUUAUCAGCUUGUUGGUGGGGUAGUGGCUUACCAAGGCUUUGACGGGUAGCCGGCCUGAGAGGGUGACCGGCCCCAUUGGGGCUGAGGUACGGGCCAGACUCCUACGGGGGGCAGCAGUGGGGAAUAUUGCACAAUGGGCGGAAGCCUGAUGCAGCAACGCCGCGUGCGGGAUGACGGCCUUCGGGUUGUAAACCGCUUUCGCCUGUGACGAAGCGUGAGUGACGGUAAUGGGUAAAGAAGCACCGGCUAACUACGUG
rnacentral:rRNA from 1 species